UUGGUGACUGCGGAGGUCAUUACCGAGUGAGGGCCCUCUGGGUCCAACCUCCCACCCGUGUUUAUCGUACCUUGUUGCUUCGGCGGGCCCGCCGCAAGGCCGCCGGGGGGCAUCUGCCCUCUGGCCCGCGCCCGCCGAAGACACCAUUGAACGCUGUCUGAAGAUUGCAGUCUGAGCAAUUAGUUAAAUAACUUAAAACUUUCAACAACGGAUCUCUUGGUUCCGGCAUCGAUGAAGAACGCAGCGAAAUGCGAUACGUAAUGUGAAUUGCAGAAUUCAGUGAAUCAUCGAGUCUUUGAACGCACAUUGCGCCCCCUGGUAUUCCGGGGGGCAUGCCUGUCCGAGCGUCAUUGCUGCCCUCAAGCACGGCUUGUGUGUUGGGCUCCGUCCUCCUUCCGGGGGACGGGCCCGAAAGGCAGCGGCGGCACCGCGUCCGGUCCUCGAGCGUAUGGGGCUUCGUCACCCGCUCUGUAGGCCCGGCCGGCGCUUGCCGACACAUCAAUCUUUUUUCCAGGUUGACCUCGGAUCAGGUAGGGAUACCCGCUGAACUUAAGCAUAUCAAAAA
rnacentral:rRNA from 1 species